CGUGUAGGCGGUGCGAUAAGUCGGGCGUGAAAUCCCCGGGCUUAACCCGGGGCGGUCGCUCGAAACUGUCGUGCUCGAGGGUGGGAAAGGGAAGUGGAAUUCCCGGCGUAGCGGUGAAAUGCGUAGAUAUCGGGAGGAACACCUGCGGCGAAGGCGGCUUCCUGGACCAUUACUGACGCUGAGGCGCGAAAGCUAGGGGAGCAAACAGGAUUAGAUACCCUGGUAGUCCUGGCCCUAAACGUUGAGCACUGGAUGUAGCCCUUCACCGGGCUGUGUCGAAGCUAACGCAUUAAGUGCUCCGCCUGGGGAGUACGGUCGCAAGGCUGAA
rnacentral:rRNA from 1 species